AAGAGACAGCAGUAGCCGCGGGAAUACAGAGGGUGCAAGCGUUAAUCGGAAUUACUGGGCGUAAAGCGCGCGUAGGUGGUUCGCCAAGUUGGAUGUGAAAUCCCCGGGCUCAACCUGGGAACUGCAUCCAAAACUGGCGAGCUAGAGUAUGGUAGAGGGUGGUGGAAUUUCCUGUGUAGCGGUGAAAUGCGUAGAUAUAGGAAGGAACAUCAGUGGCGAAGGCGACCACCUGGACUGAUACUGACACUGAGGUGCGAAAGCGUGGGGAGCAAACAGGAUUAGAUACCCCUGUAGUCCCUGUCUCUUAUAC
rnacentral:rRNA from 1 species